rnacentral:rRNA from 1 species
ACACGUAGGGAGCAAGCGUUGUCCGGAUUUAUUGGGCGUAAAGAGCUCGUAGGCGGUUCCGUAAGUCGGAUGUGAAAACUCAGGGCUCAACCCUGAGACGCCAUCUGAUACUGCGGUGACUAGAGUCCGGUAGGGGAGCAUGGAAUUCCUGGUGUAGCGGUGGAAUGCGCAGAUAUCAGGAGGAACACCAGUGGCGAAGGCGGUGCUCUGGGCCGGUACUGACGCUGAGGAGCGAAAGCAUGGGGAGCAAACAGGAUUAGAAACCCUAGUAGUCC